rnacentral:rRNA from 1 species
AACGAACGCUGGCGGCAUGCCUAACACAUGCAAGUCGAACGAGAUCUUCGGGUCUAGUGGCGCACGGGUGCGUAACGCGUGGGAAUCUGCCCUUUGGUUCGGAAUAACAGUUGGAAACGACUGCUAAUACCGGAUGAUGACGAAAGUCCAAAGAUUUAUCGCCAGAGGAUGAGCCCGCGUAGGAUUAGCUAGUUGGUGUGGUGAAGGCGCACCAAGGCAACGAUCCUUAGCUGGUCUGAGAGGAUGAUCAGCCACACUGGGACUGAGACACGGCCCAGACUCCUACGGGAGGCAGCAGUGGGGAAUAUUGGACAAUGGGCGAAAGCCUGAUCCAGCAAUGCCGCGUGAGUGAUGAAGGCCUUAGGGUUGUAAAGCUCUUUUACCCGGGAUGAUAAUGACAGUACCGGGAGAAUAAGCUCCGGCUAACUCCGUGCCAGCCGCCGCAGUAA